rnacentral:rRNA from 1 species
UCAAGUUAUUAAGGGUGCAGGGCGGAUGCCUUGGCACUAGGAGCCGAUGAAGGACGUGAUAAGCUGCGAUAAGCUUCGGGGAGUUGCACGUAAACUUUGAUCCGAAGAUUUCCGAAUGAGGAAACUCACUUAGAGUAAUGUCUAAGUAUCAUUAAGUGAAUACAUAGCUUAAUGAGGGGAACUCAGGGAACUGAAACAUCUAAGUACCUGAAGGAAGAGAAAGAAAUUCGAUUCCGUAAGUAGCGGCGAGCGAACGCGGAUUAGCCCAAACCAAUAAAGUUUUCUUUAUUGGGGUUGCGGACAUAUCAUAACGAAGAGGUAUCGUAAUUGAAGAGGUUUGGAAAGACCCACCACAGAAGGUAAUAGUCCUGUAUGUUAAACGAGAAGACUUUAGAUAUGAUCCAGAGUACCACGGGACACGUGAAACCCUGUGGGAAGCAGGAGGGACCACCCUCCAAGGCUAAAUACUACCUAGUGACCGAUAGCGUAUAGUACCGUGAGGGAAAGGUGAAAAGAACCCCGGGAGGGGAGUGAAAUAGAACCUGAAACCCUGCACUUACAAGCUGUGGAAGCACAUUUCUUGUGUGACCGCGUACUUUUUGUAGAACGGGCCAACGAGUUACGUUAAGUAGCAAGGUUAAGCACUUAAGGUGCGGAGCCGUAGCGAAAGCGAGUUUUAACUGAGCGUUCAGUUACUUGACGUAGACCCGAAACCGGGCGACCUACCCAUGAGCAGGAUGAAGCGAAAGUAAAAUUUCGUGGAGGUCCGAACCCACGAGCGUUGAAAAGCUCGGGGAUGACUUGUGGGUAGCGGUGAAAUUCCAAUCGAGCCCGGAGAUAGCUGGUUCUCCCCGAAAUAGCUUUAGGGCUAGCCUCAAGGUGAGAGAUACGGAGGUAGAGCACUGAAUGUCCUAGGGGGUAUUGCACCUACCGAAGACUAUCAAACUCCGAAUGCCGUCAUCUUAUACUUGGGAGUCAGACUGUGGGUGAUAAGAUUCAUAGUCGAAAGGGCAACAGCCCAGAUCGUCAGCUAAGGUCCCUAAAUGUAAGUUAAGUGGUAAAGGAUGUGGGAUUGCACAGACAACCAGGAUGUUGGCUUAGAAGCAGCCACUCAUUCAAAGAGUGCGUAAUAGCUCACUGGUCGAGUGAUCCUGCGCCGAAGAUUUCCGGGGCUAAAACUUACUACCGAAGCUACGGCAUCAGUAAUGAUGGGUAGGGGAGCUUCCCAUACGGGUUGAAGCAUGACCGUAAGGACAUGUGGACAGUAUGGGAGUGAGAAUGUUGGCAUGAGUAGCGAGAUGUGGGUGAGAAUCCCACAGGCCGUAAACCCAAGGUUUCCAGGGGAAGGUUCGUCCGCCCUGGGUUAGUCGGGACCUAAGCUGAGGCCGAAAGGCGUAGGUGAUGGACAACAGGUUGAUAUUCCUGUACUACCGAUAACCGUUUGAGAGAAGGGAUGACACAGUAGGAUAAGCUAAGCACACUGUUGGUUAUGUGUGCCCAAGCAUUGAGGCAGUCAAAGUAGGCAAAUCCGCUUUGAUAAUGCUGGGAUGUGAUGGGGAGCGAAAUUUAGUAGCGAAGUAGCUGAUUUCACACUGUCAAGAAAAGUCUCUAUCGAGGUUAAAGGUACCCGUACCGCAAACCGACACAGGUGGGUGAGGAGAGUAUCCUAAGGCCAGCGAGAGAACUGUUGUUAAGGAACUCGGCAAAAUGACCCCGUAACUUAGGGAUAAGGGGUGCCACCAUCAGGUGGCCGCAGAGAAUAGGCCCAAGCGACUGUUUACCAAAAACAUAGGUUUCUGCUAAGUCGCAAGACGAUGUAUAGGAGCUGACGCCUGCCCGGUGCUGGAAGGUUAAGGGGAUCUGUUAGAGUAAUCGAAGCAGUGAACUUAAGCCCCAGUAAACGGCGGCCGUAACUAUAACGGUCCUAAGGUAGCGAAAUUCCUUGUCGGGUAAGUUCCGACCCGCACGAAAGGCGUAACGAUUUGGGCACUGUCUCAACAACAGACUCGG